rnacentral:lncRNA from 1 species
ACGUAGUAUUAAAGCGGAUUGGAAUUACACUGUCAACGUUGAAAAUAUGGAUAAACAUUUGUUCAUGAAAUGUAUGAAGUUACCAUCCAUUUUUGAUGUAUUUGGAGCCUAAAAUCUUACAGGAAGAUAUAUAUUCUUAUUUUGUUAAUAUAAAGACAGGAUUCAGUCAUGGCAGAGGGGGGCCCUAGCGACAACAAAAGGGCCACGAUCCGUAAACCUGGUUCAUUCAAAGAAACUGAGAGCGUACGGAAAG